ensembl:lncRNA
CACGCCGCCGCAGCUGCAACCUGACGCACACGCCGCCGCCACGCAUUCGCUGCACACCGCCACGCACACCGCCACGCACACGCUUCACACCGCCACGCACACAUCCACGCUGUCUCUCCACAGCACCAGCCCCGCCCUCGGCCACUCACCACUGUCGCGCCGCCGGGGACGACCAAUAGAAAACCCUUAUGCUAACGUGGGACAGCAGGCUCCACCCUCCAAGCCGCAGAGGAGGAAGUCACCUUUGUUGAAACAACUUCCUGUAGAGGAGCAGGGAAUCAGAGAUCAAGACUUGUUGAGAGUAGACGGAGGCGGCAGCCCCAGUAGGGCGGAGCUGUACCAGCAGCAGGUUCUUUCAGAGCGCGCUCGGGUUCAGGGUCGCAGGUCGUCUCUCUUCCUGUCUGUGGAGGGAGCCGGGUCAGAAAACCAGGUGCCCCUCCUCACUCAGAGCCAUUCGAUGGACGACCUCGGCGAGCUUCCCCCUCCAGCUCCGGUCCUGUCGCCCUCGCCAACGCCUCACACCUUCCUCCACCCACUGACGGGGAAACCUCUAGACCCCUCAUCUCCACUCGCCCUGGCUCUUGCUGCACGAGAACGAGCGCUCACUGCCCGCACGCCGAGCCCCGAGCCUCGACUGAAACACGCAUCUGCCUCCACCACGCCCAUCCCCACUCCAGCCGCAAGCCCCGAGGGAAGACACAAGCGCACCCCUAUCCCCACCCCACAGGGCAGCCCCGAGCCGCGGUCCAAACGCGCCACCCCUCAGACAAGCCCCGAGCAGCGAACCAAGCGCACCACUCCCCAGACCAGUCCUGAGCUGAGGCAUAAACGCAUCACCCCGCCAAUAUUCCCUGACGGACAAGUGGAGCGUCCGGAAACAGAGGGAGGAGUGACAUCACCUGCCGCCCCCUCCCCUGAGCGCUGGAGACCCAGCCCCUUGCCAGCGCUGGCCAAUGAGAGUCACCCUGCUCUGAUUGACAGGCGCAGAAGCCUCACAGUGGGCAGCUCAGAGGAGGAGGGCGGGGCUUACACAGUUACACUCCCACCGGCGCUGUUGUCGUCCAGUGAUGAGGAGACGAGGGAGGAGCUCCGCAGAAUCGGCCUGGUAACUCCACCCGCUGCCUUCGCCACUCCUCCCGCCCUUCCUCCCCCAUCAUCCCUUAUACUGUUGCCACGGCGAGGUGGGGAGGGAGGAGGAGGAGGAGGAGGAGAGAGUGGUCCUGAGUCUCUGGGUCGACGAGGAGAUGAGGAGGAAGGAGGUGACGAACGGCUCCACGACAGCUCGUCCUCCCCCAGCUCACUCCCUCCCUCCAUCACCUUGGCCUCCCCUCCUGCUCCGUCCUCCCCCUCCUCCCCUCCCGCUGCUCACCCUUCCCCUUCCUCCCCCGCCACCUCCCCAAUCGGUCUCAAGCCACGCCUUCGUUCACCUAUCGGGCGUGGCCGCUCCGCGCUCCGGGAUCCGCUACUGAAGCAAUCAUCAGACAGUGAGCUCCUCCCGUCUGCUGCGUCCUGCUCCUCCCCCUCCUCCCCACUCUGUUCCUCCCCCACCAGCGGCGGCGGAC